GGACUUACGUUGAAAAGUUAGCGGAUGAACUGAGGGUAGCGGAGAAAUUCCAAUCGAACUUGGAGAUAGCUGGUUAUCUCCGAAAUAGCUUUAGGGCUAGCCUCAAGUGAUGAUUAUUGGAGGUAGAGCACUGUUUGGACGAGGGGCCCCUCUCGGGUUACCGAAUUCAGACAAACUCCGAAUGCCAAUUAAUUUAACUUGGGAGUCAGAACAUGGGUGAUAAGG
rnacentral:rRNA from 1 species